rnacentral:rRNA from 1 species
GCUUUAUAUAUUGAAUGGGAGUUCGACAUAAAAAAUAUAUUUGCUUCCCAUAAUUUCGAUGAACAUAAAAAGGUUAAGGUUGCGGUUGGUUCUUUCACUGGUUAUGCUUUGGUUUGGUGGAGUGAAUAUUGUCGGUUACACCCUGAUUAUAUACCUACUACUUGGGAUGAUUUGAAACUUGCCAUGCGACAUACUUUCGUCCCUGCUUAUUAUACUCGUGACAUGAUUAAGAAGUUGCAACACUUAAAACAAGGUAGUGAAACUGUAACAAAAUAUUAUGAUGAUUUACAAACUACCUUGUUGCAUUCCUAUUUAGAAGAAAGUGAAGAUGAUUUUAUGGAUAGAUUUUGGGGAGGAUUAAACCGUGAUAUU